rnacentral:rRNA from 1 species
CCUACGGGUGGCAGCAGUGAGGAAUAUUGGUCAAUGGGCGCGAGCCUGAACCAGCCAAGUAGCGUGCAGGAUGACUGCCCUACGGGUUGUAAACUUCUUUUAUACAGGAAUAAAGUGAGUCACGUGUGCCUUUUUGUAUGUACUUUAUGAAUAAGGAUCGGCUAACUCCGUGCCAGCAGCCGCGGUAAUACGGAGGAUCCGAGCGUUAUCCGGAUUUAUUGGGUUUAAAGGGAGCGUAGAUGGGUUGUUAAGAGAGUUGUGAAAGUUUGCGGCUCAACCGGAACAUUGCAGUUGAUACUGGCAGGCUUGAGUACAGGUGAGGUAGGCGGAAUUCGUGGUGUAGCGGUGAAAUGCUUAGAUAUGACGAAGAACUCCGAUUGCGAAGGCAGCUUGCUAAAGUGGCACUGACACUGAUGCUCGAAAGUGUGGGUAUCGAACAGGAUUAGAUACCCGUGUAGUC